UGAAAGUUUGCCCUAUUGUAUGAUAAUAACUAUUAUUAUACUAAAUAGGAUGAAUUCAUUAAACUUUUAAAACAGACUAUAAAGGGUAAACUUUUAUUACAGAAACAAGCAUAUUUAACAGAAUGACCGGGAUAUAUUCAUCUUCAUUCCCUGGUACUUGUACUUUCAACAUCACCAAUCAUGUAGUCAGGUAGUGGCAUGCUUCAUGUAUUCUUGUAUUUCAUGCUUAGUUUUCUAUUUUUUUUUGUUGUCAAUUUUAUUUAUUAUAGUGCCAUAAACUAGUCUAUUAGUAUUAUUUUUUUUAUUUUAAUGUAUAUUCAAAGAGACAAUAUUUAUAUCCAUAUAUAUGUAUAUUGUUAAUAUCUCAAACUAGGUCCUCUUGUUUGGAAAAAAAAAUACCAGUAGAUAAAUGGUAUAGUAACCUUUUUUGAAUUGUUAACUUAUUGUGUUGAAUUUUGUAAUUUAAUGUAAAGAAAACUGUAUAUUAGUGCCCCUAUUUGUCUAUUUCAUUUGUUUUAAAAUAAGGACUCCUUAAUUAAGAAGAAAAUCAAUGAGACAUACAUAAUUAUUACAUUAUUAUCAUAAAUGAUACUUUUUUUUAUUUUAUAUAACGCUUUGCUUAAAUGAAUAUUUUUUAAUUAGCAUAGAAAUUGAAAGUCUGUUUGUAUUGCAAUGUACAUGUAUGAAAAUAAAAAGAUAAUCAAG
rnacentral:sRNA from 1 species